rnacentral:rRNA from 1 species
GACGGAGGGUGCGAGCGUUGUUCGGAAUCACUGGGCGUAAAGGGCGCGUAGGCGGCGCGGCAAGUCGGGCGUGAAAGCCCGGGGCUCAACCCCGGAGGUGCGCCCGAGACUGCCGCGCUCGAGGCCGGGAGAGGGGGGUGGAAUACCCAGUGGAGAGGUGAAAUUCGUAGAUAUUGGGUGGAACACCGGUGGCGAAAGCGGCCCCCUGGCCCGGGUACCUGACGCUGAGGCGCGAAAGCGUGGGGAGCAAACAGGAUUAGAAACCCGAGUAGUCC